CGCCUCUUGCUAAAUAAGAAUAAGAGGUCCCGCCUGCCCUGUGACUAUGUUUAACGGCCGCGGUAUUCUGACCGUGCAAAGGUAGCACAAUCACUUGUCUUUUAAAUAAAGACCCGUAUGAAUGGCAUCACGAGGGCUUAACUGUCUCCUUCCCCUAGUCAAUGAAAUUGAUCCUCCCGUGCAGAAGCGGGAAUAUAAAUAUAAGACGAGAAGACCCUAUGGAGCUUUAGAUUAUUAGCUGAUUUAUGUCAAUAACCACAAAAAGAAUUAAACUAAAUAAUACUCAGCCAAAUGUCUUCGGUUGGGGCGACCACGGGGUAAAAAUUAACCCCCGAGAGGAAAAUUUCCAUGAUCCUAGAACAUCACUUCUAAGAACCAAAACAUUUGACCUUAAGAUCCGGCAAAGCCGAUUAACGAAAUGAGUUACCCUAGGGAUAACAGCGCAAUCCUCUUCAAGAGCCCAUAUCGACAAGAGGGUUUACGACCUCGAUGUUGGAUCAGGACAUCCUAAUGGUGCAGCAGCUAUUAAGGGUUCGUUUGUUCAACGAUUAAAGUCCU
rnacentral:rRNA from 1 species